UACGGAGGAUCCGAGCGUUAUCCGGAUUUAUUGGGCGUAAAGCGCGCGUAGGCGGCUUGUUAAGUCAGGUGUGAAAUCCGGGGGCUCAACCCGCGGCUUGCAUCUGAAACUGGCAGGCUUGAGUCUGGUAGAGGAAAGUGGAAUUCCUGGUGUAGCGGUGAAAUGCGCAGAUAUCAGGAGGAACACCAGUGGCGAAGGCGGCUUUCUGGGCCACGACUGACGCUGAGGCGCGAAAGCUAGGGGAG
rnacentral:rRNA from 1 species